UCCCCGGUGGCGCAAUUGGCUAGCGCGUCAGACUGUUAUGUUACAACAUGCCAUCUGGAGGCUGAAAGUUCGACCCUUUCCCGGGGAG